CAGAGAGGUUGAUGGACUUGCCCAAAGAUACCCAGCCUGGCACGGAGCUGGUCUCACCCUUGCAAAGCCGUACAGCCUGGUUACCGGGAUGAUAAGCGGCGCUUCACCGUGAUCCCUGCCAGCCAGAUAGGAGGUUCUACUGCUUCUACUUAAUGCAUGGAGAUAACGGCCAGGGACUUCUCCCUGGACAACUUGUCAAAAUCUGCAUGGCCUUGCCAAACCGUGGAUUUAUCCUUCCAGAAGUGUGGAGGGCAUUUGGAACUCACGUGACUUUCCAGAGGAAACGCAGCGCAGUACCAUGAUCUCUUUCAUCUUCUAUCAUCUCGCACAUCAAAACCCCCCCUCCACUCAUCAAGGGACUCUUGCAUAGCUGUAUUCUUGCACUUCCUGUGGGACUAGUCUAUAGAAAGGAGUUUGGUUCCAACACCAUCUGUUAACUAUUCCUAUUGGCAAGAAAAUGGGGCCCAC